GAAAAAUUAGUUAAUUUAUAACAUUAAUAUGUCAAAUUAAAAUUAUUGAAUAAUCAAUAUUUUUCU
rnacentral:tRNA from 1 species